CCUACGGGCGGCUGCAGUGGGGAAUAUUGGACAAUGGGGGGAACCCUGAUCCAGCCAUGCCGCGUGUGUGAAGAAGGCCCUCGGGUUGUAAAGCACUUUCAGUGAGGAAGAACGCCUGGUGGUUAAUACCCAUCAGGAAAGACAUCACUCACAGAAGAAGCACCGGCUAACUCCGUGCCAGCAGCCGCGGUAAUACGGAGGGUGCGAGCGUUAAUCGGAAUUACUGGGCGUAAAGCGCGCGUAGGUGGCUUGAUAAGCCGGUUGUGAAAGCCCCGGGCUCAACCUGGGAACGGCAUCCGGAACUGUCAAGCUAGAGUGCAGGAGAGGAAGGUAGAAUUCCCGGUGUAGCGGUGAAAUGCGUAGAGAUCGGGAGGAAUACCAGUGGCGAAGGCGGCCUUCUGGACUGACGCUGACACUGAGGUGCGAAAGCGUGGGUAGCAAACAGGAUUAGAUACCCCAGUAGUC
rnacentral:rRNA from 1 species